UUUAGAGUAUAGGUGGAGUUUUGUGGUGGCUCCUGUUGAGUUAGUUUCCAUUGGGCUAGUGGGACUGCAGUAGAAGGCUCUCCUCACUAGAUCUGGGCACCAUCUCAGGAAAAAGUUCCUUGAGGACUGAGACACCUUGCCUUCUUGAAACAUAAACACAAAAAAAGAAGAAAAUAGUACAGCCUGCUUUAACUGGUAUCAAAAGAGAGAAUCCAACGCCUCUGAAUAUCUUGAGCUGCAAGCCAUCCAGGAUUUGCGGAUAAUGUUGAACCGGCUCUAUUUAUUUCAAGUGCGAUGGACAUUAGGUCACGUUCCAAAGGUGGGGAAUAAAGCCACAAACAAAAACUACUUCAGACUGUGGAGAAGUGAAAAUAAAUACCCUCUGUGGUGGUAAAGACUUCUAUAUAUGGAGAUGAAGCUCAACAGUACAAUCAUUCAGUGGCACAAAAGCUGAGACUGACGAGGCUUCUGGAGAAGUAAGAGAGGGGGAAAAAGGGUCAGAGAGGGGAAAAGCCAAUGUGAAGUAGUGGAGUGUCAUUUUAGAAGCUGUUACUAAUAGAAAACUGGGUCUACAUUUCAUUUUCCACCAUCUCAAGUUCUAGGCAUCGUCAUUUGUUAAUAUAAUUGGAUAUUCAAGUUACAUACUUGGAUGUUUUUGGCAGUUUUGCUGUCACAAAUACAGCUCUCACAAGCUACAUGGUCUCCAUGCUCUUGAAUGACGACUAACCAAAUGGCUGCCAUCCAGUCAAGGAAUGGAAAUUAUUAGGAAUUGUUUUGGGAUAGAUAUAUAUAUACACACAUAAUAAUAGCAAUGCUGCUUCUGUAAGGCCAGUGACUCUUGAGUAACAGCAAGAUCGUUACUUUUAUAAAGGGGUAAUAGAGUUACAGAUUGUUAGAGUUACAGCUAUUGUUAUUCUGAACAUACCUAAGCUGAGAAAGCAGGUAACAAAAAAUGUAGGGUUUCGACACAAAAGCUCAAACAUUUGGUGAAGAUUCAGAUCUGCAGAAGUCAGCCAGAGAUGUGACAUCCUUCUGGAUAACUUGGGUCUGAUCUGAGCAAACACAUCCUGACUGCAAGGUAUAAAAUACUCUUGGAUAUCUUCAUUACUCUCAAACACUACUUUGAUUGAAUCUGUUUCUUAGGGGCUAUGCUGGACAUGCUGCUUCACUUAAAUAACGUGUAACUCACAGAAUCAUCAGGUAUGAAGGAAAAAAGUAGUCUCUUUGAGCUAGAGCCACCAAAUGAUUUAUGAACUGUGAUAAUGAAGCAUCAUAAAUCUUAUUUUUAUGGCCAAGCCACAUUCACAAGCCUAUAUUAGGUGACCAGACUCUCAAAGUGGUGCCAGGGAAGUAUUAGACAUCUCAAAAUGAGAUUCAAAACAGUGAAGUCUCUGGGGAGGGAACCAUCUAGAACUGAGCAAGAAGAAUAAGUCUUAAAUCUUGCUGCUUUUUAAACCUGUAGAAAAGUACUUCCUAAGUUAUGGGUCAUUUCCUGAACACAGGUAUCUACACCCUCUCUCUGUCAAAAGACUAGGAGAAUUAUUCUUUACUUUUUUUGUCCAAUGGGACCAAAUCACCUUACCAUUACUCCUCCCUUCACCUCACACUGUAACCCUCAGUACAAAUAGGAUUAGUUUCCUCAACCAGGAUGUGGAAGAGACAGGCUCAGAUUUUCUCCUCCGAAGACAUUUCAAACCACAUCCUCCAGCUUCUCUGGAGGGCAUCUUCAGCACAAGGCAGUUAUGAACCAGUUAUAUUCUCCGUUCCCCUGGCUGAAAAUGCUCUGUUGCACAAAAAUAAACAAAUCAAGAUGCUUUGGAACAGCAAAAGCAAAAAAUGAGAGUGAUUCUUCAUCCUGGUGUUCAGGACCAUCACAGGAAGGGAAGAUUUUCAAGUUCUAGGUUCAGUCCUGCUGUCACAUCCUGCUUCUGCAUUUUAUCCAGUGUCUGCUUCAGGUAAAACACGUUUACUGUUAUGAAUUCAUGUUAUAUUUGCCAUUUAAACAAAUGAUCCAUUCAGUUUUCAUUCUUUAGUCAUUUUCCGUGUAAGGGAACAGGCACAAGUAUAGCAAUAUGGCACUUCUUGCAGAAGCAGCACAGAAAAAAGCAUGGAAUUAUCUACAUCUAUCUCACUCUUGCUAUCAGGGAGCCAACUUUUAAAAAGGGGCAAUAAAAAUAUCCACUCGCAACUGACAGAAUAUAGUUCAGUUCCUACAGACCCCACUCUGACCACACAUGGUUUUAGAGAUUGCUCCCUUCCUUUUUAACCAUCUCUUUGUAAUACAAACCAAGCUACCAUACAACAUAAAAUUAGGCUUAAAUACAGUGCUUAAGAACAAGGAAUUUGCAAAACACUAAGAUUCAAGCACAAAUUUUGCCAAAGUAUGUAGUUUUGUCUCUUUUAAUGUACUCAAGGAUAUUUCCAUCAAUGUAACCCAGCAUUUUAAAAAUCUAGGGAUAUAUUGUGGUUUAUUUUGAAUUCACAUUUGCAAUAUAUUAAAAAAAAUCCAAGAACAAAAAGCUUAUUAGAUUUUUUUUUUUAGACCAACUAAAAAAUUGACUUAGUUGAUUAAACCUGGAAACAGGCAUUCUGACCUCAGCAUAAUUACAACACACUGCAGGUUAUAUAGUGAAAGGCUGCUGGCUCUAGGUAGUGCUUGUUAAACGUGUUCUGUUCUUUCCAUAAAAAUGUAACUUAAUUUUCUGUAGAUGGUUUCAAUUUGUUCAACUGUCUCUAUGAAUUACUGGUAUUACAUUUAGUUUUUGCAGGGGAAAAUAUAGUUGAAUUUCACGUCAAGGAAAGUUGCCUUUUUCAAGUCUCUUCAAUUCUUUACCCCACCCUGCUCAGUGGAACUGCAGUUUUUCCUUUUGUGUUUCCAAGUUGAUGCCAUCCAAAUACAGGCUUUGCUUUGUUGCCGUUUUUAUGUGUAUUAUAUCAAUGUCUCCUAAAAGCAGUAAUAAUCCUUGUUAGCCCUUGCACAACCCCUCAUCAAAAUGAGCAAAUUAUUUAGGCUUGUACUUGGCUCUCACUCUCUUCUUCAUAAAAUAUCAGAAUAUCUCAACGAUAAAGAGAUGAGCAGGUCUUUGCUCAUUAGUCUGCCCUUAGUUCCUCACAUCCAAAUCUCCUCCUGCAGGAUUCUGAGAAUUCUUAGAAUUCUGGCCCUAAACCCCCAAAAUUGUUGAGUGAACUCAUUGUUACGAAUGAGACUCCUGAGGUACUGCAAGUAAUAUAUGCGCUUAAGUGCAUUGCUAGGUAGUGGCUGGAACAUUAAGCACUAUAUGGGACUAAAUGCUGAGUAGUUUCCUAUACUUUUUAUACCUAGAGAAAACAGCCUAAUUCCUUCGUGUAACAUCAGAAGCAUCAGCAGAAGGGUCUUCUGUCUGAACUAGGAAGUGCAGGAGUAAAGGCAUGAAGAAGAAAUAGGAUCAGUGUUUUUCAAAAGUUUAUAACUUUAAAAUAAAUGAAUAGAUUAAAAUGAUGCCAUGUUAUAUAUCUAGUUAAUGACAGAAACUUUUCCUAAUUUUAGGGCAUGUUGGUUUAAGCUGUAUAAGAAAAUAAAUGGUAAAUCUGAAGUUUUGGAUAGAAAUGCUUAUGAAGUGAGAGGUUUACUUUGGAAAUAUUCCCAUGUUACACUCUUUCAUUAAAUAAAUAAAUGCCUCUGAUUUAAA